GCAGCCGCCGCGGGAAUACGAAGGGGGCUAGCGUUGCUCGGAAUGACUGGGCGUAAAGCGCACGUAGGCGGCUUUGUAAGUCAGAGGUGAAAGCCCGGAGCUCAACUCCGGAAUUGCCUUUAAGACUGCAGAGCUAGCAGGUGAGAGAGGUGAGUGGAAUUCCGAGUGUAGAGGUGAAAUUCGUAGAUAUUCGGAAGAACACCAGUGGCGAAGGCGGCUCACUGGCUCAUACUGGACGCUGAGGUGCGAAAGCGUGGGGAGCAAACAGGAUUAGAUACCCCCGUAGUCCCUGUCUCUUAUAC
rnacentral:rRNA from 1 species